rnacentral:rRNA from 1 species
UACGGAGGGUGCGAGCGUUGUCCGGAAUCAUUGGGCGUAAAGGGCGCGUAGGCGGCCCGGUCAGUUCGUGGUGAAAGCGCGGGGCUCAACUCCGCGUCGGCCAUGGAUACUGCUGGGCUCGAGCACUGUAGAGGCAGGCGGAAUUCCGGGUGUAGCGGUGGAAUGCGUAGAGAUCCGGAAGAACACCGGUGGCGAAGGCGGCCUGCUGGGCAGUAGCUGACGCUGAGGCGCGACAGCGUGGGGAGCAAACAGG